AAUAUACUCCCUCCGUUCGGAAAUACUUGUCCUAGAAAUGGAUAAAAUGGAUGUAUCUAUAACUAAAAUAAGUCUAGAUACAAUCAUUUCUAGGACAAGUAUUUUCGGUCGGAGGGAGUAUAAU
rnacentral:pre_miRNA from 1 species